CCAAUUCUACACGCCAUCAACACAGUAGCCCACUUUUACCUUCAUCUAUCACAUCUUUCUCACCACCAAACUACACCAACUUCACAAUCCUCCAUUCAAUUUAGUUUUUUCAACAAAAUCAUGUCGAAGAAAACGAUUGUAACUCCUCGAAAGAGCCCUCUAUUAGUCGAAGGAACUUAUACGGAUGAAGUUCAUGCUCCAUCUUUCAACAUUUUGACUCAAAC
rnacentral:lncRNA from 1 species